UACGUAGGGCGCAAGCGUUGUCCGGAAUUAUUGGGCGUAAAGAGCUCGUAGGCGGUCUGUUACGUCCGCUGUGAAAACCCGGGGCUUAACCCUGGGCUGGCAGUGGAUACGGGCAGACUAGAGGUAGGUAGGGGAGAAUGGAAUUCCCGGUGUAGCGGUGAAAUGCGCAGAUAUCGGGAGGAACACCUGUGGCGAAAGCGGC
rnacentral:rRNA from 1 species